rnacentral:rRNA from 1 species
UAAAAAAUUUGGCGGUAUUUUAGUCUAUUCAGAGGAACUUGUUCUAUAAUCGAUAAUCCACGAUGGACCUCACUUAAAUUUACGAAGUUUAUAUACCGUCGUUAUUAGAAUAUUUUACAAGAAAGUUAAUUUUCAUAAGGUUAAAAAAGAAAGUAUAUCAGAUCAAGGUGUAGCUGAUAUUUAAGUAGAAAUGGGUUACAAUAAAUUUAUUUAAACGAAUAUAAAUUUGAAAUAUUUAUUGAAGGUGGAUUUGAUAGUAAAACUAUAAAGAUUAAUAUUUUGAUUUUAGCUCUAAAAUAUGUACACAUCGCCCGUCACUCUUAUUAUUAAGAUAAGAUAAGUCGUAACAUAGUAGAUGUACUGGAAAGUGUCUCUAGAAUGCAGUUUAAAGCUUAAAUAGUAAAGUGUUUCAUUUACAUUGAAAGGAUUUUUGUGCAAAUCAAUAUAAAUUGAUUAAUUAUUAUUUAUUAAUUUAUAUUUUGUUUAUAUAUAUUAUUAUUAUUAAAAAUAAUUAUAAAUUUUAAUGUUUAAGUAUCUUAUAAAGAAAAAAUAAUUUUAAUUAUAGUUUAGUAGUAUUGUG